rnacentral:rRNA from 1 species
UACAGGGGGGGCAAGCGUUGUUCGGAAUUACUGGGCGUAAAGGGCCGGUAGGCGGCCAACUAGGUCACACGGGAAAUCCCCAGGCUUAACCUGGGAACUGCGUGUGAUACUGGAUGGCUUGAAUUCGGGAGAGGGAUGCAGAAUUCCAGGUGUAGCGGUGAAAUGCGUAGAUAUCUGGAGGAAUACCGGUGGCGAAGGCGGCAUCCUGGACCGACAUUGACGCUGAACGGCGAAAGCUAGGGGAGCAAACGGG